rnacentral:rRNA from 1 species
UACAGAGGGGCAAGCGUUAUUCGGAAUUAUUGGGCGUAAAGGGCGCGUAGGCGGCUUUUCAAGUGACGGGUGAAUCCCUCGGCUUAACCGAGGAACUGCCUGUCAGACUGGAAGGCUUGAGACCGGGAGAGGUGAGUGGAAUUCCCAGUGUAGCGGUGAAAUGCGUAGAUAUUGGGAGACACCAGUGGCGAAGGCGGCUCACUGGCCCGGUACUGACGCUGAGGUGCGAAAGCGUGGGAGCAACAGG